UAGCCUAAUGGUUGAGGCUAUGGACCGCCAAUCCGGAGACGGCGGGUUCGAUUCCCGU
rfam:Aedes albopictus isolate Foshan contig27729, whole genome shotgun sequence.